rnacentral:rRNA from 1 species
GAUGAACGCUGGCGGCGUGCCUAAUACAUGCAAGUCGAGCGAACAGACGAGGAGCUUGCUCCUCUGACGUUAGCGGCGGACGGGUGAGUAACACGUGGAUAACCUACCUAUAAGGCUGGGAUAACUUCGGGAAACCGGAGCUAAUACCGGAUAAUAUAUUGAACCGCAUGGUUCAAUAGGGAAAGACGGUUUUGCUGUCACUUAUAGAUGGAUCCGCGCCGCAUUAGCUAGUUGGUAAGGUAACGGCUUACCAAGGCAACGACGCGUAGCCGACCUGAGAGGGUGAUCGGCCACACUGGAACUGAGACACGGUCCAGACUCCUACGGGAGGCAGCAGUAGGGAAUCUUCCGCAAUGGGCGAAAGCCUGACGGAGCAACGCCGCGUGAGUGAUGAAGGUCUUCGGAUCGUAAAACUCUGUUAUUAGGGAAGAACAAAUGUGUAAGUAACUAUGCACGUCUUGACGGUACCUAAUCAGAAAGCCACGGCUAACUACGUGCCAGCCGCCGCCGUAA